AUACGUAGGGAGCGAGCGUUGUCCGGAAUUACUGGGUGUAAAGGGAGCGUAGGCGGGAGUGCAAGUCAGAUGUGAAAUACAUGGGCUCAACCCAUGGGCUGCAUUUGAAACUGCAUUUCUUGAGUGAAGUAGAGGUAAGCGGAAUUCCUGGUGUAGCGGUGAAAUGCGUAGAUAUCAGGAGGAACACCGGUGGCGAAGGCGGCUUACUGGGCUUUUACUGACGCUGAGGCUCGAAAGCGUGGGGAGCAAACAGGAUUAGAUACCCUGGUAGUCCACGCUGUAAACGAUGAUUACUAGGUGUAGGAGGUAUCGACUCCUUCUGUGCCGCAGCUAACGCAUUAAGUAUUCCACCUGGGGAGUACGGCCGCAAGGUUAAAACUCAAAUGAAUUGACGGGG
rnacentral:rRNA from 1 species